UACGAAGGGGGCUAGCGUUGUUCGGAAUGACUGGGCGUAAAGGGCGCGUAGGCGGCGAUGUAAGUCGGGUGUGAAAUCUCGGGGCUUAACUCCGAAACUGCAUUCGAUACUGCCGUGCUUGAGGACUGGAGAGGAGACUGGAAUUUACGGUGUAGCGGUGAAAUGCGUAGAUAUCGUAAGGAAGACCAGUGGCGAAGGCGGGUCUCUGGACAGUUCCUGACGCUGAGGCACGAAGGCCAGGGGAGCAAACGGG
rnacentral:rRNA from 1 species